GGAGAGGUGACCGAGUGGCCGAAGGUGCACGACUGGAAAUCGUGUGUGCGGUAACCCGUACCGUGGGUUCGAAUCCCACCCUCUCCGCCA
rnacentral:tRNA from 1 species